GAUGAACGCUGGCGGCGUGCCUAAUACAUGCAAGUCGAGCGAACGGACGAGAAGCUUGCUUCUCUGAUGUUAGCGGCGGACGGGUGAGUAACACGUGGAUAACCUACCUAUAAGACUGGGAUAACUUCGGGAAACCGGAGCUAAUACCGGAUAAUAUUUUGAACCGCAUGGUUCAAAAGUGAAAGACGGUCUUGCUGUCACUUAUAGAUGGAUCCGCGCUGCAUUAGCUAGUUGGUAAGGUAACGGCUUACCAAGGCAACGAUGCAUAGCCGACCUGAGAGGGUGGAGGGCCCAACGGGAGAUGGGGACGGGCCCAGACCCCUAGGGGAGGCAGGGGGAGGGAAUCUUCCGAAAGGGGGGAAGGCCGGACGGAGAAACGCGGGGGGAGGUAUGAAGGUUUUGGGAUCGUAAAACUUUUUUAUUAGGGAAGAAAAGUUGGGUAAGUAACUGGGCCCAUUUUGAGGGUACCUAAUCAGAAAGCACCGCCUAACUACGG
rnacentral:rRNA from 1 species